rnacentral:tRNA from 1 species
AGGGCAGAAGCUGUGUUCAGCAGCUGGCCGUUACCCAGUUUACAGUGACAUGAUCACCUACCCUC